CGGACGGGUGAGUAAUGUCUGGGAAACGUGCCUGAUGGAGGGGGGUAACUACUGGAAACGGUAGCUAAUACCGCAUAACGUCGCAAGACCAAAGAGGGGGACCUUAGGGCCUCUUGCCAUCGGAUGUGCCCAGAUGGGAUUAGCUAGUAGGUGGGGUAACGGCUCACCUAGGCGACGAUCCCUAGCUGGUCUGAGAGGAUGACCAGCCACACUGGAACUGAGACACGGUCCAG
rnacentral:rRNA from 1 species